GUCUAUAGCCAUGCCACCCUGAACAAGCCAGAUCCCAUCUGAUCUUGGAACCUAAGCAGGGUUGGGCCUGGUUAGUACUUGGAUGGGAGACCACCUAGGAAGACCAGGUGCAGUAGGCG
rnacentral:rRNA from 1 species